rnacentral:rRNA from 1 species
GACGAACGCUGGCGGCGUGCUUAACACAUGCAAGUCGAACGGAAAGGCCCUGCUUUUGUGGGGUGCUCGAGUGGCGAACGAGUGAGGAACACGUGAGUAACCUGCCCUUGCCUUUGGGAUAACUUCAGGAAACUGGGGCUAAUACCGGAUAGGAGCUCCAGCUGCAUGGUGGGGGUUGGAAAGGUUCGGCGGUUGGGGAUGGACUCGCGGCUUAUCAGCUUGUUGGUGGGGUAGUGGCUUACCAAGGCUUUGACGGGUAGCCGGCCUGAGAGGGUGACCGGCCCCAUUGGGCCUGAGAUACGGCCCAGACUCCUACGGGAGGCAGCAGUGGCGAAUAUUGCACAAUGGGCGGAAGCCUGAUGCAGCAGCGCCGCGUGCGGGAUGACGGCCUUCGGGUUGUAAACCGCUUUCGCCUGUGACGAAGCGUGAGUGACGGUAAUGGGUAAAGAAGCACCGGCUAACUACGUG